GCAGUGGGGAAGCAGCGCGAAGAGAAAUUUCAGGGAACUGACCACUCUGCCCCCUUUCUUCCUACAGGGUUUGAGCCAAGUUUGAAGCCUCUAUUUAAAUUGUGGUGUGAACAUUUUAGUUUCUGACCCAGUCUGUGUUUGUGAUUUAAAGGAAUUUCUAGAUGUUCUAUUGUAUAAGAGUGAACAGAGAAAGCAAGGACCGGCCAGCCAGGAAAAUCCUCACCUAGGGCAAGAUUAUCCCAUGAAAUCAAGUUUAAAGGGACAGUGAGAGCCAGAAGACAGUUGUAGGGUGAUCACAGUCCACGUGUCUCCAUUCAAGUCACAAGGGGAACCGGGAGGGAAUCUCAUGUCGUGCCUGUGCUUCUUGAACUGCCUUUUAUGAAGUCCAUACUGUUCUCUGUAUUAUAUAAAAAGGGAAACCAAGGAAAGAGACUUGAGUCUGCAUUAGGACUAGAGCUUGGAAAAGAAGGCAGAGGAUAGAUCGCGGUGCUCCUGAGGGACAGGGUCGUGGUUUCAGCCACAGUGGGAAUGAAAGAGUCCCGAGAGGAAGAGGCGUUCAGGCCCCAUGUUUCCACAUGGACAUGCUCCUCCUGCUCGUGGAACAAACCAGGACCUCUCGCAUUCGCUCUCACAGUAGAGAAUUCGAUUACCACCCGUAUCAAAUGUUCCCGGGAGGCACUAGGAGCCAGACAGAAGGCACUGAAGUCGAAUCAGCUGAAGGGUGUCCUCCUCCGCUCCUCGCCCGGAGCUAAUACCUGAAACAGUGUCAACCGAACAGCCACAGCUGGGACACGGUGCAACUUCGGUUGGAAGACAGGUCACUGGCAUUGACUGGAGACUUCGUGACAAUGCCUCUUUUCGCUGAUGAGCAGCGUGUGGUCACCCUCCUUCCUGGGGGCUGCCCUUCAGGCUUCCAGGGGGGCAGCAGGCCUGGAGCGGCGCACUGCCCCAGAAUUUUGUGCCUCCUCUCGGAAGCCUCUACUCCGUGAGGUGAACACCUGUUUCUACUUGUCUCUGCUGUGUUCUGGGCCACUCUGUGGAGGUCAUCUUUCACAAGGUUCUGUGAACUUGAAAGGACACUGAGAUUAGAAUCCAAUAGACUUGGUUCAAAUUUUGAUCCUGCUACUGGGUCUGUGGCCUGGGCAUGUGGCUUAAUGGUGCUGAUUCUCUGCACGGCCAUCUCUAAAAUGCUGAAGGCUUGUUCUGAGAAUUAAAUGAAGCUAUGUAUGUGGAAACCUUUUGUACAAUGCUUUGGACACAGCAGGCCCUUGAUAAAUGAUAGUUUAUGUCUGUGUCUAUUUUUAUAAUAAAACAAUAACUCUGGAAGUUUGCUACUAAGAU
rnacentral:lncRNA from 1 species